rnacentral:rRNA from 1 species
GGUUGCGGACAUAUCAUAACGAAGAGGUAUCGUAAUUGAAGAGGUUUGGAAAGACCCACCACAGAAGGUAAUAGUCCUGUAUGUUAAACGAGAAGACUUUAGAUAUGAUCCAGAGUACCACGGGACACGUGAAACCCUGUGGGAAGCAGGAGGGACCACCCUCCAAGGCUAAAUACUACCUAGUGACCGAUAGCGUAUAGUACCGUGAGGGAAAGGUGCCAAGCACCCCGGGAGGGGAGUGAACUAGAACCUGAAACCCUGCACUUACAAGCUGUGGAAGCACAUUUCUUGUGUGACCGCGUACUUUUUGUAGAACGGGCCAACGCGUUACGUUCAGUAGCAAGGUUAAGCACUUAAGGAGUGGAGCCGUAGCGAAAGCGAGUUUUACUUGAGCGUUC